rnacentral:rRNA from 1 species
UACCAGCUCUCCGAGUGGUGUGGAUGUUUAUUGGGCCUAAAGCAUCCGUAGCUGGCUGGGCAAGUCCCCUGUUAAAUCCACCGAUUCAAUCGUUGGAGUGCGGGGGAUACUGCUCGGCUAGGGGGACGGGAGAGGCCGACGGUAUUUUCGGGGUAGGGGUGAAAUCCUAUAAUCCCGGAAAGACCACCAGUGGCGAAGGCUGUCGGCUAGAACGCGCCCGACGGUGAGGGAUGAAAGCUGGGGGAGCGAACCGGAUUAGAUACCCUGGUAGUCCCAGCUGUAAACGAUGCAGGCUAGGUGUUUGGGCGGCCACGUGCCGCUCUAGUGCCGCAGGGAAGUCGUUAAGCCUGCCGCCUGGGGAGUACGGCCGCAAGGCUGAAACUUAAAGGAAUUGGCGGGGAGCACCACAAGGGGUGAAGCUUGCGGUUU